rnacentral:siRNA from 1 species
AGGAUGGUUUCAGCGGAAACUGGA